GCGUCCUACGGGGCGCAGCAGUGGGGAAUAUUGGACAAUGGGGGGAACCCUGAUCCAGCGACGCCGCGUGAGUGAAGAAGUAUUUCGGUAUGUAAAGCUCUAUCAGCAGGGAAGAAAGAAAUGACGGCACCUGACUAAGAAGCCCCGGCUAACUACGUGCCAGCAGCCGCGGUAAUACGUAGGGGGCAAGCGUUAUCAGGAUUUACUGGGUGUAAAGGGAGCGUAGACGGCGAUGCAAGUCUGAAGUGAAAGGCGGGGGGCCCAACCCCUGGACUGCUUUGGAAACUGUAUGGAUGGAGUGCAGG
rnacentral:rRNA from 1 species